GGCAGCGCCCGGGUGCGUAUACGUGCCCCUCAAACCAUUGAAGUUAAAUGUUGUGGAACCGCCCUUCCUUCCGAUCUUGGGUUUAGUAACCACCUAUAAAAAUGAGAACCUUCCAAGCCCAAAUGGAAAAAGGUUCCUCCUGAACCGCAAUUGGACCAAGGUUAAUCCGGCCUAAACAAAAACUUACACGCUGAACCAUAAGAAACGUUUUGUAUGUAAUGGGCUUGCUCAUGAUACUUCCUUUCGGUCUGCGAAAGGGAAUCAGGUUAAUAUUCCUGAACCAGGGAACGGAAAACUUUACUUGUUUAUUUUAACCUUUCAGGGUUUGUUCCAUUUUGUUUAGUGGAGCGGUAACCCCAACUAACUCCGAAACGUUGUUGGAAAUUCCAGGAAAAAUUGUCUUUUCUGUUUAACUAAAUGAAUAAUCUUGGAAUAAAGUCAUUCAGAAAACUGGUUGACAAUUGGGAAGAACGUCGCUUUUUGGUGGCGUCUGGAAUACCGUCUAUGAUCCCUGAAAAUCCCAGGGCAUGGAUAAUUGUCAUGCCUGGCCCUAGCUAAAUUCCCAUCCUGGCCCCUAAGUAAACCCCCUCCGGGUCUCCAAUUUGGUGGGGAAAGGAAGUCGGAAAAAAG
rnacentral:rRNA from 1 species